GACGAACGCUGGCGGCGUGCUUAACACAUGCAAGUCGAACGAAGAGCGAUGGAAGCUUGCUUCUACCCAUCUUAGUGACGGACGAGUGAGUAACGCGUAACCAACCUGUGCUUCUGGGGGGAACUACAGUAGCAAACGAUAGUUAAUACUGGAUACGACCUCAUCUUGGCAGCGAGGGGAGAUGAAAGGUGGUCUCGACAUGUAAGCUAUCAUUGCAGGAGGGGAUUGGGGCUGUUGAGUUAGAGUGGGGGGUAAGGGCCCAGCUUGGCGAGGAUUAGUAGCCGGUCUGCGAUGAUGAACGGCCAGCCUGGGACUGUGACACGGCCCAGUGUCCUAGGGGAGGCAGCAGGGGGGAAUCUGCCGCAAUGGGCGAAAGUCUGACGGAACAACGCCGCGGGAGUGAUGACGGCCGUCGGGUUGUAAAGCUCUGUUAUUCGGUACGAAAGGCCUUCUUGCUAAUAGUGAGAAGGAUUGACGGUACCGGAAUAGAAAGCCACGGCUAACUACGUG
rnacentral:rRNA from 1 species